UACGAGGGGUGCAAGCGUUGCUCGGAAUUAUUGGGCGUAAAGGGUAGGUAGGUGGUCUCAUUUGUCUUGUGUGAAAUCCUUGGGCUUAACUCAAGAAGUGCGCAAGAAACGGUGAGACUGGAGUCCUGGAGAGGUGAGUGGAAUUCCCGGUGUAGCGGUGAAAUGCGUAGAGAUCGGGAGGAACACCAGAGGCGAAGGCGGCUCACUGGACAGGUACUGACACUCAACUACGAAAGCGUGGGGAGCAAACAGG
rnacentral:rRNA from 1 species